rnacentral:rRNA from 1 species
AACGCGUGGGAACGUGCCCAGAUCUAAGGAAUAGCCACUGGAAACGGUGAGUAAUACCUUAUACGCCCUUCGGGGGAAAGAUUUAUCGGAUUUGGAUCGGCCCGCGUUAGAUUAGGUAGUUGGUGGGGUAAUGGCCUACCAAGCCUACGAUCUAUAGCUGGUUUUAGAGGAUGAUCAGCAACACUGGGACUGAGACACGGCCCAGACUCCUACGGGAGGCAGCAGUGGGGAAUCUUGGACAAUGGGGGCAACCCUGAUCCAGCCAUGCCGCGUGAGUGAUGAAGGCCUUAGGGUCGUAAAGCUCUUUCGCCUGUGAUGAUAAUGACAGUAGCAGGUAAAGAAACCCCGGCUAACUCCGUGCCAGCAGCCGCGGUAAUACGGAGGGGGUUAGCGUUGUUCGGAAUUACUGGGCGUAAAGCGCGCGUAGGCGGAUUAGUCAGUUAGAGGUGAAAUCCCAGGGC